AUGGACAUAUAUGGAUCAAACUCAUGCAUCCGGCUCAUACCGGCCGUGAUGUACAGGGAGCCGGCGGCAAAGGGCGUGGAGUUCAAGGACGCGUUCGACGUCGCAGUGGGACGGGUCAUCGACCGGGUGGCGAAGCGCCGACGCGCCGCGGCCGAGGGCCGGGAGUGCCGGGACAGCGUCGAUGGAUACGAUAGCUGGAAGUGGCUAAAUAUCUCCAUCGUCGAACCAGUGCCCCUAAACCUAGAUCUCCGGAGCCCUCCCAAAUCCUCUUCUCCUCAGGCACACAACGCCUCGGCCGAUGUUCCUCUCCUCGACCGCCGCAGAUGUUCCUCUCCUCCGCCGCCACCUACGUUCAUCUCCGCGACCGCCUCCCUCCAGCCACUGCCACCCUGCGUUGCAUCGCUGGCCCUUGAAUCCCGCCGCACACUUCAUCUCGCUGCUCCACUGGUGCCUUGCGUCUGCCCGCCGCUCCCCAUCCACCUGAAGGCGGCCACAACUGACGAGCCCUCAACUUGCAAUGCCGCCGCUGCUCCCCAUCCACCUGAAGGCGGCCACCGCUCACGAGCCCUCUUCUCUGAAGGCCACCGCUGCUCCCCAUGGACCUGA
rnacentral:rRNA from 1 species